AUAAUGAGAAAAAAAAAUAUAUAAGUAUUGGUGAUAGGCAAUAAAUAAUAUGCUGUCGUCGUCAAAACGGUGUCCACUCAGCUACUGCAGCGCCUUUGGUUGGUUUAAAGGACACUGCGCUGGUUUUCAGUGGAAGCCUUAUAGUGACGCACUACGCGUAGGUAGUUAAUAAAAAUCAAACGAAAACACGGGGGAAACAAAAACAAAGUGAAGUGCGCGAGCGACGACAUGGCGGAGCGCGUUCGCCCUGAAAUCUACUUUCAGGCAGGAGCGGCACACAUAGCCGGCCACACGUGUCGCGCGCGCACCGAGACAAAUAAUAAGAACGUGAUAAUAACACUAAUUAACAUCAAUAUAAAGUGAACAGAAACACGACACAUUAUAAUAACAUAAAGAAACAAUAAUGAUAAAUAACAUUAAGAAUUACGGUUCCAAGGACUAAAAUGAAAUGUCAAAGCGUGUAGAAGAAUAUUAUGAACGAUGAACGUGUGUGUGUAGCAGACAAUAAUGGGAAUGGGCCUGCAACCAUGCAAACGAAAUCCUACCUUGCGCAUCGUGGAUAAAAUUCAAACCACGUAUAGGGGGUGGGAGAUUAUUGAAGAUGUCGCUGGCAAGAUACUUAAAGCUAUGCCGAUACAUGGCUGAUUUGUGCUUGGGGGUGAGCAUCAGAUACGUGGAGGCCCUCGUGUUGAUGGUGUGGUGUUGGCGCGCCCAGUUCAGCUUAUCAUACAGAUAAUCUGGCGACUGAUGCUUCACGACGCCAAAGAGGAGAGUAGCCAGGUGCAACUUCCAUCUCGCCGCAAUCUUCAGCAGGUUUGACCUAUUUAGAAAGGGUGUAACAUGAGUGCGCGGGGGAAUGUUGAAGCAGAACCGAGCGCAGGCAUUCUGCACCCUUUGAACCAACCUUUCUGUUUUACGCAGUAAGCACGGUCCAUAUACAGUGUCGGCAUAGUUCAAUUUAGAUAGUACCAGUGAUUCGCACAACUGUAUACGGAGGGCUUCAUCGAUGUACGGUCUUAUGUUAUACAGAAGUUUAAGUCUGUAAAAACAAUUUGUAACCAUGUUUAUAACAUGUUUCUCGAAACGUAGGUUACUGUCAAACACAAGACCCAGGUUGCGCGCUUCUGUAACCCUUUCAAUAACCGUCCCAUUUAGUAUAAUGUUAGGGUUUUCUGCUAGGGUAUCUUUGACCUGCUUUUUGGUACCAAUUAUCAUAUACAUAGAUUUGUUCGGGUUAAGGUGAAGGGAGUUAUUAUUAGACCAGGUUGUAAUCCGCUCUAAGUCCUCAUUAAUGAGCUUACAUGUUAGCUCUGUCUCGUGUGGGGGGCAUGACAAGUAUAUUUGUAGGUCAUCUGCGUAGACAUGAAAACUACAGUUUUUCACCUCCAAAGCGAUGUCACAGGCGUACAGUAUAAAUAGUAGAGGUCCUAGGAUAGAUCCUUGUGGCACACCCCUGGUCACUGAAUAGUUCGCUGAUAAAAUAGUUGUACCAUUAGAUUUUCUCAACUUGACAAUCUGGGAUCUUCGAUCUAGGUAACUAAAGAACCAUCUCACCGUGCUGGGGUCAAAACCAUAAUAUGUCAAUUUUGCCAGCAGUAGCGGGACACUGAUCGUGUCAAAAGCGCGGGAAAAGUCGAGUAGUGUCAGUAUGGUGGAUUUACCCUUAUCUUGGGAUGCGAGAAUGUUAUCUACCACGUCUAAGAGUGCUGUCGUUGUACUUCUACCCUUGCGGAAUCCGGAUUGCACUGAUGGAAGGAUCUUGUUUUGUUCGAGAUAAUUGGACAUUUGGUGGUGUACUACUUUUUCUAGUAUCUUAGAUAGGGUAGAUAGUAGGCUAAUUGGUCGGAGAUCCUUAAAGUCCGUUGGGUCUGACUUUUUAGGAAUAGGGUUUACUAAUGCAAUUUUCCACUGAUCGGGGAAAAUUGAUGAAGUUAUGGAUUGAUUAAUGAUGAAAGUAAGGAUGUCUAAUGUGCGUGGAAGUGUGAGGAUUAGCAUAUCCAGUGAUAUUCCAUCAUAUCCUAGCGCAUUUGAUUUAAAUUUUUUAAUUAACCCGCUGACUACUUCUUCAGUUAUGGUUUGUAGUUUGAAGUUAUGUUGAUUGUGUUUAUUGCUUUCAUAGUAAAUAAUAUUAGAUAAAUUUAGACUGUUAUUACCGGGAAGAUUUAAAAAGUGUUGAUUAAUU